UACCAGCUCUCCGAGUUGUAGGGAUGAUUGUUGGGCUUAAAGCGUCCGUAGCUGGCUUAGCAAGUCUCCUGUUAAAUUCAGCGACCUAAUCGUUGAGCCGCGGGAGAUACUACUAGGCUAGGAGGCGGGAGAGGUCGACGGUACUUUCGGGGUAGGGGUGAAAUCCUAUAAUCCCGGGAGGACCACCAGUGGCGAAGGCUGUCGACUAGAACGCGCUCGACGGUGAGGGACGAAAGCUGGGGGAGCGAACCGGAUUAGAUACCCGGGUAGUCCCAGCUGUAAACUAUGCGGGCUAGGUGUUGGGGUGGCUACGGGCCACUUCAGUGCCGCAGGAAAGCCAUUAAGCCCGCCGCCUGGGGAGUACGGCCGCAGGGCUGAAACUUAAGGAAUUGGCGGGGGAGCACCACAAGGCGUGAAGCUUGCGGUUC
rnacentral:rRNA from 1 species